UGGAUUCUUGCGAGUUUUGGUGCAGACACGUAUUUAAUUGCUCCUCUUAGGGGUUUUCUAAUAUUUAUUUUUUCUCCUGUUGUAAUUGAAUUAGGGCUCUCAAGAUAGGAAGACCUUCGAUGUUGGUACUAAUCUUUUCAUUGGAAACCUUGACCCCGAUGUGGAUGAAUAGAUCGUGUAUGAUACUUUCAGCACAUUUGGUGGCAUUGCUUCUAAUCCUAAGAUCAUUUGAAGUUUACAGACCGGGUGUUGGCUCCAAGUUGUCCCCAGAUCUCAGAAGCCGUUACCCUUGCCCAGUGGAUCUCCUAAAGUUACACUCACCACUUAGGCUCGGAGUUAGUAAACGAUUGUCUCUCUUGGAAGCAAGACUCUGUUAAAACUUAUAUGGAAUCACCAAGAUGCCAUCUUGUGUUGCUCUUUAAAGCCUCAACCAGUGUUUAUGUUCGCGAACCAAGCUGGUUUAGACAUGCUAGGGACAACGCUUGUACCUUACAAGACAUUGCACUGGAAAAGGUCUUUGAUUAAUCUGGUCGAAAGGCUCUCUGCUCAGACUUUGCCAAGCUAAUACAACAGGGAUUUGCGUGCUUGCCUUCAGGAAUCUGUUUGUCUACAAUGGGGGACAUGUCACUUAUGAACAAGUUGUUGCUUGGAAAGUGUUUGCUGUAUCCGAUAAUGACAAUAAUAAUAAUUUGCAUUGUCUUGCUUCCUCCUUUGUAAACUGGUCGUUUGUGUAGUCUCAUCUCUGAUGAAUGUAUUAGUAAAGGCUAAUCAAAUUUACAUUAUAGACAACACUCUUUUUGUUGUUGUUGUGGAAGUGUCUUGUCUCUUUUUUGAUCAAAUUUUCAUUGUGUUUUACAUAUAUAUAUUUAAGCCUUUAA